UACGUAGGAUCCAAGCGUUGUCCGGAUUUACUGGGUGUAAAGGGUGCGCAGGCGGACUUGUUAGUCAGAGGUGAAAUCUCACGGCUCAACCGUGAAACUGCCUUUGAUACUGCAGGUCUUGAAUUGGGGAGAGAGUUGUGGAAUUCCGAGUGUAGCAGUGAAAUGUGUAGAUAUUCGGAAAGAACACCAGUGGCGAAGGCAGCAACUUGGCCCUAUAUUGACGCUCAGGCACGAAAGCAUGGGGAUCAAACAGGG
rnacentral:rRNA from 1 species